rnacentral:rRNA from 1 species
UACGAAGGGGGCUAGCGUUGCUCGGAAUUACUGGGCGUAAAGGGCGCGUAGGCGGACAGUUAAGUCAGAGGUGAAAGCCCAGGGCUCAACCCUGGAAUUGCCUUUGAUACUGGCUGUCUUGAGUAUGGGAGAGGUGAGUGGAACUCCGAGUGUAGAGGUGAAAUUCGUAGAUAUUCGGAAGAACACCAGUGGCGAAGGCGACUCACUGGCCCCAUUACUGACGCUGAGGCGCGAAAGCGUGGGGAGCAAACAGG